rnacentral:rRNA from 1 species
AUUGAACGCUGGCGGCAGGCCUAACACAUGCAAGUCGAGCGGAGCGGCUGACGGGUGAGUAAUGCCUAGGAAUCUGCCUGGUCUUGGGGGAUAACGUCCGGAAACGGGCCCUAAUACCGCAUACUAUCAGAUUAGCCUAGGUCGGAUUAGCUAGUUGGUGGGGUAAAGGCCUACAAAGGCGACGAUCCGUAACUGGUCUGAGAGGAUGAUCAGUCAAACUGGAACUGAGACACGGUCCAGACUCCUACGGGAGGCAGCAGUGGGGAAUAUUGGAAAAUGGGGGAAAGCCUGAUCCAGCCAUGCCGCGGGUGUGAAGAAGGUCUUCGGAUUGUAAAGCACUUUAAGUUGGGAGGCGUUACCAACAGAAUAAGCACCGGCUAACUUCGUGCCAGCAGCCGCGGUAAUUC